UCGCCUGUUUAUCAAAAACAUGGUCUCUUGAUUUUUGUUUAAGAGAUUUAACCUGCCCACUGAAUCAUUUUGAAGGGCCGCAGUAUUAUGACUGUGCAAAGGUAGCAUAAUCAUUAGUCUUCUAAUUAAAGGCUGGUAUGAAUGGUUAGACGAAGUGAAUGCUGUUUUAUAUUAAUUUACUGAAUUUAGGUUUUAAGUAAAAAUACUUAAAUGUUAUUAAGGGACGAGAAGACCCUAUAGAGUUUAAUAAAUCUAGUAUUUAAUUGAGUUAAAUUAUAGUUUUUGGUUAAUAUGAAGUGUAUUUAAUUGGGGUGAUGGGAGGAUACAAUUAACUCCUCUAUAAAUUAAAUGUUGUAAAUAGUUAAGUGAUCCAUAUUUAAUGAUUAAAAGAUUAAAUUACCUUAGGGAUAACAGCAUAAUUCUUUUUAAGAGUUCAUAUCGAAAAAAGAGCUUGUGACCUCGAUGUUGGAUUAAGAGUAGUUUUGGGUGUAGAUGUUCAAAAACUUGGUCUGUUCGACCUUUAAUUUCUUACAUGAUCUGAGUUCAAACCGGAGA
rnacentral:rRNA from 1 species